GAUAAGCGCUGAAAGCAUCUAAGCGUGAAACUUGCCUCAAGAUAAGAUAUCCCUUGUGACUUGAUCACACUGAAGGGUCGUUCGAGACCAGGACGUUGAUAGGCUGGGUGUGGAAGCGCAGUAAUGCGUUAAGCUAACCAGUACUAAUUGCCCGUGAGGCUUGAUCCUAUAA
rnacentral:rRNA from 1 species